UCAUAUUAAAGAAGUGGGUGGUACGCAC
rnacentral:sRNA from 1 species